GGAAGAAAAGGGCCGCAAGAAAAGAAAAGAGAGGAGACCGAGAGAGAGAGCUCUCGGCUAGGGAAAAGAAGGACAAACAGAGAAAAGAAAUGGGCGACAGACAGAGAGCUUCGCCAAAACUAAGAAAAGGGGAGGGAUUGAAGAGGGUUUCGUCUAAAAAAAAAAGAGAGAACGAAACAGAGCAGGAGGAAGGAAACUAGGACAGAGGGCUUCGGCAAGCUUGGUGAAAAAAAGAAAAGCAGAAGCAAGAAGGGAAAGGCUGCGACCAGGUCUGCCGUUGCCGCCACCGGAACCCACCAUCAUCGCCCGUGGAUCUUCAUCGUCAAGAGCUCUAGGAGUAAAUUGUUUCGGCCAUGGAUUUUUUUUUUUGGUGGGGAAAAGCAGCUACUGGAACUCUGGUUUUGUAUUAUGAUUUUGUUUGUUUGGUCCUGAGUGACUCGGUUUGAGUCUUGGGGCAUUAGUUGGUGUAUCUACAUGCUCCAUUGGGGUUUAUAAAUUCUGUCCCAUGCAUGCUGAAAUGGUAGAGAAGAAGCUGCCGCAUGAUUCGUUAGUCAUCGUGGGUUGCUGAAAUUCAUAGUUGCUCCAAAUACUUGAUUCUCUUGCUGUGCAAUUAGGAUAGCUGGUAUAAAAUUACUAUAAGCUAUGAAGAUCUGACUUGCAAAGUGGCCUAAGACAGAUUUCGCAGGUCUUUCACCAUGUUGCAAAAAUCUGAACUUUCAAAGUGCUAUUGGCUUCAUUUCGAGUUUAUUGAUUUAUAAACAUAGCUUGCUUUUCUGGUUCCCUUAUGAAGAGUUCAACGUUUGGUCAAGGAGUGGAAUGUUUUCUGUUGCAUGAUUUGGUUGGUCGUUGCAAGCAGAUGAUGAAGUUUCUUUUUGCUGCAUUUUCAUGUUUUGUCCUUGUUUUUUCUUGGCUCGGGUUUUAUCCGGGGGGAUCAUCAAAGUUGGAAAAUCAUGUUUGGUUUUGUUAAAAGCAAUGAAUGGUGGAUAGGUAAUGAGUGCUGGUAUGAAUUUUGUGUGGGUUGAAGUUGCAAUUUUGGUAGCAGAAACGAUUGAGGGAAGUUUCAUGAGCUGCAAAAUUUUGCUGCAGAAAGCUUUCUCGUAGAAUUUGCAGGAAGUUUGCAUGAUGAUUUCUAAAAAUUGCACUUUGGCCCCCCAAGUCUCCCUUUGUUGCACUAAGGCCCAAAACCUUCUGCAAAUAAAUCAUUUUUACCUCUUUCAAACUUAAAUUUUUGUAUGUUUUACGUGUGUUUUUUUUAGUUCAUUAAUUCUGAAUUUUGGAAUAAAAUUAGGCUUUAACAGAUUUGGUUCACCCAUUAGUUUGUUGGGUUUUGGUAAAAUGGAAGGGGAAUUGGAUUUAGCUAUUUAUUUGAGUUACUUGGAUUUGGGUUAGGUUUUUUUUUUUAUUUGGGUUUGUCCUGGGCUGAGGGGUUGAAGCCCAUCAGUUUGUUGGAUUAUUCUUUGAGUCAAUAUAAUAAAAUGGCCCAUUCCCUUUCGUUUUGGAUUUCUAGUGGGCUGGAAAGCUUUGGCCCAAACAAAUAAAGGAAAUGGCCCAAUGGCUUGGUCCAUUAAGAAAUCAGAAAACGAUUUUGCAAAUCAUUCCUCAGACUUUUCCUUAAUUAUGCUACGGCCCUAAAAAUGUUAGGCUUCUUUCAAUUGGGUCCUGAUUUAAUUGCAAAUAGGUCCCUAAACUUUAUUUUUCUUUAAUUUUGACCUCAAAACUUUAUUAAUUUUUGCAAUCAAGUCCUUUCUUCUUUUGACUUCUUAAAUGUGGAUUGUUUAUAUGAUUUAAUUGAUUCAAUUUCAUAAUUCAUUUUUAUCUUUUGUGAUUAUUUCUUGAUUAAAGUGGUGUCUUGACCCUUUCUUUGUAUUUUGGAGGAUAAAUAAGUGAUUUCACUCCAUUAGGGCUUCGACUUAAGGGAGGUAUACCUUAUCCCUUAUUUCUUACUUUAUUUAACUCUACGUGCCCUAUGUGACUUUACAUGUUUGAUUGUAUGCCUCUUGAAUGUUUGUUUCAUUCAUUUCAUUUAUUUAUUUAUUUGCUUUAUUGGCUUUGUGCAUUUAUUUUAGUUCAAUUUUGAUCAUUUGAAAGGCACUUGAAUGUCAAAGUUGUAAUAGUUAGGUAUUUAUUUUAAUUAUUUAAUUCAUCUCCCUUUAGAUUGUAGUAGGGCUCCCCAAAUGUAAUAGUUAAGGCUUUAUUUGCUUUAUUGAGUGUUGUGUGAUUUGUCUGCUUACGUGUUAUGUGUUAUCGCUUUCUUAGGACCUUGCAUCUAGAUAUUAUGCUCAUGUGCUAUGUGCUAUACGUGAUUUAGGUGUUUACUUACUUUAUUAUAUGUUUAUUUGGUUAUAACAAAUGCAUGUCGUCACCACACUAGUCCAACGCUAGUUGUGGCCCCUUUUCCCGAAUACACACUAGUCCAACGCUAGUUGUUGACCUUUGUUCCGACUUUUCUCACUAGUCCAAUGCUAGUGGGAAUUCAUAGAUAUGUGACUAGUCCAAUGCUAGACCCUUAGGGACCUUCUACGCUAGAUCAUGCAUGUAUGACUACAUCACAUUCUCAUGCAUAUUUUUACUUUCUAGGGCCUUUUAUCACUUUGUAUGAUAUUUCCCUUAUACACAUAUCCUUUUAUCCCUAAUUUCCCUAUAUAUCUACCCCUGUGUAUGAUAUGUGACAUUAGACUUGCAUUUCAUUUUAGAAAUAGGAUUAGGGUAGUGCAUUUGUUUGACUAGAUUAGGGAAAACCCCUUGGAUAUGGGAUUUGGACGAGUUUGGCUUUUCCUAGCCUUAACACGCUCAUAUUCCCUCUAUUAAAGGGAACAUUGAAAGUCACGAGUAUAAAUUUUUCACACCCAUUAUGAUGCAUUCCCUUAGGUCAUACACAUCUGUAUAUUAUUGAUUUUUACUUUUUCUUUUCUUUUGAGUCUCAUGACUUGCAUUAUUCGUGAUUUUUUUCGAAGAAUCUUUAAUGGGCGUCACGAUUAAUGUGAUUGGUACUAAGUAAGUUUUGAAAAUACAUCUCGACCCCCUGACACCCUCCUAGGUCUAGGUUUUGCAUUCAUAUAGUACAUCCAAAUGUGAUAAAUUUUUAGGUUAAAAUAAGAAAAUCUUUGACUAAAUCGCGAAACUAGCCUUGGCUAGGUUGAAAGUGUGACGACCCCACUUCCCCCUGAGGCGAACCAAAGGGUUGGCGGGCCGUCUGCCCAACUCUCGCCAGGACUCACGCAAGCAAUCUAACCCAAAACCUUUCGAAGAAUAAACUAAUCUAUUACAAAACAAUCUUCCUCGAAUAGAAUCAUACCUAAAGCCACAUUAACUUCAGAGAUAGCUAUGAUAAAAAAAAAAAAAACCAGUCGAGAUCUUAAACGACCUACGUGCCAAAACCGAAGUAUAAGUCGUACCCAUCACAAUAGAUAAAUACAGAAAUCCGUAAUACAACUUACAAGCCAAGUAAUCGACUUAGGGUUUAUACAUUUUUCAUCUUCAAGUGGCAAUUCAAAAAAGAAAAUACAUUAUCCCUAUAACACGU